GGAGUGAUCUGACUGGUGUAUUUUGUAGCCAGGCAGCUGUCCUGCAGACUGGGUCUGUGGGCUGUUACCUGGGAAGGGAAGCUGAGCUUGGAUGUAACCCCUUCUGCUGGGAGAAGAGCCUGUGGGCAUAGCUAGAUUGUUCCAGCAGCCCAGAGAGAGCUCGUAAGUUAUUUUUGGCCCAAUCUCUUCAUAUCACACCCUACACUUACAUUCUAAAUGUAUUAGCUCUUCUGUGCCAAGCGUGUAGCAAUUGCUGAGGAAUUGGAACAUCAACAGCCUAAAGCAAUUUAACAAAAGUUACAUAAUCCACUUUUGGUCAAGUUUUUACUAUAUCUGCAGAGUAUAGCAGGGAACAGUUAGCAGAAAACCUGCAUUCCAGCGUACGUGCUGCUAACCUCCUUAAGUCAAUGACUUUGCCCUCUCCGACUUGGCUUUUACAAUUUAGAACAGAAAAGUAAUAAUGACAGCUUCCCUUCAGAGGAUUAUUUCAGAGUAAAAAUCAAAUAAGCUAUCAUUAAUUAAAGUGCUUCAGAAACUCCAAAGUACUAGUUAAACACAUGUUUAAUUAUGGUUGUCUUUUAUCCACUUGGUUUUUUGACUGUGAGCUUACUCUAACCAAAAAAUUAAGUUGUAAAAUUUGUCCUUGUAGCCAGUGUCCCUCAUUAAUUCAAUUCAGCAAGCACUUAUUGAGAACCUAUUUUUGUACCAGGCACCAUGCCAAGUCUUGGGAUAAAAUGGAAAAGUAGGCAAUGUCCUUGGUCUCAUGGACCUCAUAGCCUAAAUCUACUGCCUUGCUUCUUGAAGUCUGGUCUAGAGGAUAUUGAUCUGGUGCCUCUCCACUGAAACCGGACAAGUUUACUCUCAAGUGCUAAAGGUUUAGAAGUAAAUCAAACACUCCCUUUGUUUUCCAUCAACUUACUUUGGACUGGACAUUUGGGUCUCCCACCCCCACCACCAAGUUCAUAUUUUGAAAUCCUGACCCCCAGUGUGAUGGCAUUAGGAGGUGAGGUCUUCAAGUGUAAAACCACAUGGAUGGAAUUAGAGUCCAAAAGACAGAAGAGAGAUUCCUCUCUCUCUCUCUCUCUCCCUUCCUCCUCCCAUACCCUUCCUCUCCCCCCAAUCCCAGCCCCUUCCCUUUCUCUUUCAUUCUCUGCCCUGUGAGGACACAGUGAGAAGAUGGCCAUCUACAAACCAAAAGAGUGUCUUCACCAGACACCAGUCCUUGAUCUUGGACUUUUCAACCUCCAGAGCUGUGAAAAAUGUUUGUUGUUUAAGCCACUCAGUGUCUAUUAUCUGUGUUAUAGAAGCCCCAAAAGACUGACAUCAGUGUGAAUAUUCAUGGCCUGCCCUCCACCCCAGAUGCUUCUUGAGAAGCCUCCUGCCAAAGCAGAUGCUGCUGCAGAUGCACACUGAUGGCCAUUCUCAGAGAGUUUGUUUCUUUCAAGGUGUCCGUCAGGGUGGCCAGCCUCCUACAUGCUGGACAAAACAAAAAGUCUUCGAUUUUUUGGCCAAAUUUUUCACCUCACUGAACAGAAAACCACCUCAUGGCAACUCGACAUCUAUCAGAGAAGUUAUUUGAAAUCUGAGCCUACAGUGAAUCCAAGAGCUUAAAAGCACCAAAAGGAUGACAAUCAAAAUACUGCAACUCUGCUGCCCAAAUGUUCUGACCCUGUUCUAAGACAGCACCAAAACCUUGCAGAACAGGAUAGAGCCAUUCUUAAAUAAAUCAGACUCUCGCGCAGACUAACAACAACCUGAACCUUUUUUCACAGACUGGAAUAAAGAUGGUAAACUUAAUCAAUUUAAAAUACUAGCCAUUUAUAAGAAAACUAUUAAAAUGUCCUUAAUAAAACUGCUAGUUUGUGUUACAUUUAUUCUUACUGUUAGCCACAGAGCUAAAUUCUUGGCUUUAGGUCAUUGCUUAUAUGUGUGUUCCUGACUGUACAUAAAUAUGAAAUCAAUUAACAUGUGUGAAUGUACUACACAAAUGUAAGGAUCCAUCUAAAAUGCUAGUAACUUGAGAGUUCCCUUUGUGGCGCAGCGGAAACAAAUCCAACUAGUAUCCAUGAGGAUGUAGGUUCUAUUCCUGGUCUUGCUCAAUGUGUCAGGGAUCCGGCAUUGCAGUGAGCUGUGGUAUAUAGGUCGCAGAAGCGGCUUGGAUCCGGCGUUGCUGUGGCUGUGGUGUAGGCUGACAGCUGUGGCUUGGAUUUGACCCCUAGCCUGGGAACUUCCAUAUGCGGCAGGUGCGGCCCUAAGAAGUAGAAAAAUAAAAUAAAAUGCUACUAACUUGCUGUGGAUUUAUUUUUUAUGGAUUAAUAUGUUUUAAUUAUGUUAUUUUUGUCCUCCCAGCUUCUGAAAGCAUUGUUUACUAAACUUAAGAUAAUUAUAUUUCACAUCGCAUGCUGUUGUAAGGAAUAAUAUGGAGAUCUCAGACACUCUUCAUCCAUUUCCCUCCAAUGAUAACGUCUUGUAUAGCUAUGGUAUAAUGUCACAACCAGGAAAUUGACAUUGAUAUAAUCCACUUAUCAUACUCAGAUUUUACCAGUGUUGCAUGUACUAGUUUGUAUGUGUGUAUGUGUGCGUUCACUUCUAUGCAGUUUUAACCUGUGUGUACAUUUGUGUAAUCGCCACCACAGUCAAUGUUAGAACAUUUCACGGGAGUUCCCGAUGUGGCUCAGUGGUUAACAAAUCCAACUAGGAACCAUGAGGUUGCGGGUUCGAUCCCUGGCCUUGCUCAGUGGGUUAAGGACCUGGCAUUGCCGUGAGCUAUGGUUGCAGAUGCAGCUUGAAUCCCGCAUUGCUGUGGCUCUGGCAUAGGCCAGCCACUACAGCUCAGAUUAGACCCCUAGCCUGGGAACUUCCAUAUGCUGGGGGAGCGGCCCUAGAAAAGGCCAAAAGACAAAAAAAAAAAAAAAAAAAAAAAAAAAAAGAACAUUUCAAUCACCAAAAGUAUGCCUUGUGCAGCCCUUUUAUAAGCAGGCCCACCUCCCCUCACCCCGUCCCUUUCCCUGAGCCCAGCAAUCACUAAUCUGUUUUCCAUCUCUAUCCUUUGGUCAUUUCAAGGAUGUUUUAUAACUGGAAUCAUACAUUAUGUUACCUUUUUGGAAUAGAUUUUUCUCUCACCAUAAUUCCUUUGAGAUUCAUCCAAAUUUUUCUGCAUAUCAAUAGUCUGUUCCUUUUUUAUUCCUGAGUAGUAUUCCAUGGAAUGAAUAUACCAUGGUUUGUUUAAUCAUUCUUCUAUUGAAGGAUAUGUGGGUUGUUUUUAGUUUUUGGUUACUAUGAAUAAAGUUGCUCUGAAU
rnacentral:lncRNA from 1 species